rnacentral:rRNA from 1 species
CUGCCAGUAGUGUAUGCUUCUCCUAAAGACUAAGCCAUGCAUGCUCUGAAUAUGAGGAAGCAAUUCUCUCUGAAUCUGCGAACGGCUCCGCAAACCAGUUGUAAACCAUAGCAAGCAUGCACGGGUUGGGCUUCGGUCCGGCCUGGGCAAUACGGAUAACCCUGGUAAUUCUAAGGCUAAUACGUGUAUGGAACACCCGGUGGACCGGCUUCGGCUGGGAAACUGGGAGGUGGGUGAUAAUUGCUUGGGUAUUCCGGGAAAGGGCGCUUGCCUCGACCGCGCUACAAAGGACGGCCUCGUUUGGCAGUCCCAGCGGCUCUUGCGCGGUGCUUCUGACCUAUCAACUAGAUGGCAGCGUAAAGGACAUGCUAUGGUAACAACGGGUACAGAGGAUUAGGGUUCGAUCCUGGAGAGUGGGCCUGAGAGAUUGCUCAUACUUCUAAGGAAGGCAGCAGGCGCGCAACGUUCCCCUUGGGCAAUGCUCGAGGGCGUUAGGGGACAUAUGAAUGCCUGCCUAAUAGGUGGGCAAUUCAAAUGGGUCUGUUGUAAAUAGGCUCUCGAGUAACAAUUAGAGGACAAGUCUGGUGCCAGCACCCGCGGUAAUUCCAGCUCUAAGAGCAUACGUUAAAGUUGUUGCAGUUAAAACGCUCGUAGUCGGCGCAAGACCGGAAGAGACAACUGUAGGUGAGACGGUGUGUCCACGAUGGGCCCCCGAGGAUCUGCGGCAGGUGUGGGCAACGGUCGCUAGUACCACUGGCUGUAUCUUCGGAUUCACAGAGCCAGGCAACUGCUCCGGCAGGCGCCAGGUUCGGCUGGUGGCACCAGAUGCCACGAUAAAACUAGCGUGAUUAAAUCAGGUCAGCCGACCUGAAUAGAGUAGCAUGGCAUAUGUUCGCCGGCCGAGCCCUACCAAGCGGGGCUGAGCCGGCAAACGCGAAAGGGGCGGUCGAGGGUGACCGAAUUGCCGGGCGAGUGGUGAAAUACGUUGACCCUGGCAAGUCGAUCUAAGGCGAAAGCAGUCAUCAAGGCCAUUCCCGUUGAUCAAGAGCGAAAGUUAAGGGUUCGAAGACGAUCAGAUACCGUCGUAGUCUUAACUAUAAAUGAUACUGGCCAGGGACAGGAUUUCGAUGUCUGUCUCGACUCCUUUUGGACCUUGGAGAAAUUACGAGUCUUUGAGUUCUGGGGGGAGUAUGGUCGCAAGGCUGAAACUUAAAGGAAUUGACGGAAGGGCACACAAAGAGUGGAACCUGCGGCUUAAUUUGACUCAACACGGGAAAACUCACCAGGUCCGGAUACACGUAUGAAAGACAAGCUGAAAGACUUUUCUCAAUGAUGUAAGUGGUGGUGCAUGGUCGUUCUUAGUUCGUGGAGUGAUUUGUCUGGUCUAUUCCGAUAACGAGCGAGACCCCGACGUUCUUAGUAGGAGCUGUGGCGAGGUUGGGAUGUUUCGGCAGCCCGGCUGGCCACGGCUUUAAAGUGAUGCUUCUUAGACGUAUCAGGGCCGAAAAGGUCCUUGAAAUGGGUUAAUAACAGGUCAGUCAUGCCCUUAGAUGUUCUGGGCCGCACGCGCGUUACAAUGGCAUGGAAAGAGAGUGCUCCUUACAGGGCGUCCCCGCGGCCUAAAGGUCGCGGUAACCCCUAGUCCCUGCCUUGACUGGGACAGUCUUUUGCAAUUAUUGGUCUCGAACGAGGAAUUUUUAGUAGUCGCAGGUCAUUAGCCUGCGACGAAUGCGUCCCUGCCCUUUGUACACACCGCCCGUCGCUGCUACCGAUUGGGUUUUGCGGUUACGCGUUCAGAGGUCGUGGCUGAUGGCUGUUUCGGCGGCUAGAUGCUGUGGCCAAAGUUCUAAUUACCGCACGGCCUAGAGGAAGCAGAAGUC